rnacentral:rRNA from 1 species
GAAUCGCAUGGCCUUGAGCCGGCGACAUAUCCAUCGAAGGUGUGCCCUAUCAUCUGUCGACUGUGGCAUAGACGCCCACAGUGGAUUUGACGGGUAACGGGGAAUCAGGGUUCGAUUCCGGAGAGGGAGCCUUAAAAACGGCUACCACAUCCAAGGAAGGCAGCAGGCACGCAAAUUACCCAAUGACCGAAGGUCGAGGUAGUGACGAAAAAUAACGAUACGGGACUCAUCCGAGGCCCCGUAAUCGGAAUGAGUACACUUUAAAACCUUUCCAACGAGGAUCUAUUGGAGGGCAAGUCUGGUGCCAGCAGCCGCGGUAAUUCCAGCUCCAAUAGCGUAUAUUAAAGUUGUUGCGGUUAAAAAGCUCGUAGUUGGAUCUCGGCGGCUAGAGGGCGGUAUGCUUCGUAGCAUUACUGCUCUAUUAGCCGUAGUUUUGCUAGAGGUUUCUGGGUGCUCUUAAUCGAGUGUCUAGGGAUGCUAGCGGGUUUACUUUGAAAAAAUUAGAGUGCUCAAAGCAGGCUAUUACGCUUGAAUAUUCGUGCAUGGAAUAAUAGAAUAGGAAGUUGUUUCUAUUUUGUUGGUUUUCGGAAAUCGACUUAAUGAUUAAUAGGGACAGUCGGGGGCAUUUGUAUUCAAACGACAGAGGUGAAAUUCUUGGACCGUUUGAAGACAAGCUACUGCGAAAGCAUUUGCCAAGAAUGUUUUCAUUAAUCAAGAACGAAAGUUAGAGGUUCGAAGGCGAUUAGAUACCGCCCUAGUUCUAACCAUAAACGAUGCCAGCUAGCGAUCUGAGGACGUUUUUUUUGUAGACUCCUCAGGAAGCUUCCGGGAAACCAAAGCGUGUGGGUUCCGGGGGAAGUAUGGUUGCAAAGCUGAAACUUAAAGGAAUUG